CACUGAAGACUCCUACUUGUGAAACCAGUUUGUUUCAACUUGAACAUCUUGAUCCAAUAGUCUGCUAUUGGGUGAAGGUGUCACUUGAGCAUUAAUCCUCUUGGAUGAAGACUCAACUUUAAAAAUUUCCCCAGUUAUGAUUAAAUCAUAAAACUGGUUAACUUUUUUUUUUUAUUAUACCUGCAAUAUGCAUCUCUAAGCAUAAUUACAACUUAAUGUAACUUGUCGCUGUAAAUCUUCAGCUAGAUUUGUAACUAAUAAUGUCUUUACUUUUUUAAUUUCUGUGCUGUAAUAGAUGUCUGGCUUUUAAAUUUGUCUAACUUGUAACUAUCUAUGUGCUGUAAUAGAAGUACCUGACUAAAACCUAUGCUUUCUGUACAGUAAUUAAGCUGCACUGUAUUAUGUAGAUUAACCCUGACGUGUUAUGCCUCGAGUAUAAUAAACAUUACUUAUCUUUUAGAUUGAAAGACUUAUCUUUUAGAUUGAAAGACUGAAUGUGAAAUGAGCUUAAUUCCGUCACUGUACCCUUAAAACUAAUGACUGAACAAUGUGAAGUGUGAUGUAAUUACACAUUUUAAAUUGUCUACUAAUGCUGUUAGAAAUGUAUAACUGAGUAUGAAUGCUAUAUUCUGAAAUGUACUAUACUGAACUUGUACCGGAGUUUGUCAUACUGCUGACCUAGACUGAAACUGAAAGUGAUGCAUAUUUAUACUGAACAUUAAAAAUAGCUGUGUAUUAAUGUUAAAUUCUUGACUCUCGAUAAACUAAUUCUAAAGGGAUACUUUUUCUGCCAGUGUUACUUGAACAUAGACAAAUGCUUAAACUUAACUGGUGCUGUUAUACAAAUGGCUGAAAACAUUAAAACAUUUGCAUGCUU